ACGCUGGCGGCAGGCCUAACACAUGCAAGUCGAGCGGAAACGACACUAACAAUCCUUCGGGUGCGUUAAUGGGCGUCGAGCGGCGGACGGGUGAGUAAUGCCUAGGAAAUUGCCUUGAUGUGGGGGAUAACCAUUGGAAACGAUGGCUAAUACCGCAUGAUGCCUACGGGCCAAAGAGGGGGACCUUCGGGCCUCUCGCGUCAAGAUAUGCCUAGGUGGGAUUAGCUAGUUGGUGAGGUAAUGGCUCACCAAGGCGACGAUCCCUAGCUGGUCUGAGAGGAUGAUCAGCCACACUGGAACUGAGACACGGUCCAGACUCCUACGGGAGGCAGCAGUGGGGAAUAUUGCACAAUGGGCGCAAGCCUGAUGCAGCCAUGCCGCGUGUAUGAAGAAGGCCUUCGGGUUGUAAAGUACUUUCAGUUGUGAGGAAGGGKGURUHGUUAAUAGCUGCAYMUCUUGACGUUAGCAACAGAAGAAGCACCGGCUAACUCCGUGCCAGCAGCCGCGGUAAUACGGAGGGUGCGAGCGUUAAUCGGAAUUACUGGGCGUAAAGCGCAUGCAGGUGGUUCAUUAAGUCAGAUGUGAAAGCCCGGGGCUCAACCUCGGAACUGCAUUUGAAACUGGUGAACUAGAGUACUGUAGAGGGGGGUAGAAUUUCAGGUGUAGCGGUGAAAUGCGUAGAGAUCUGAAGGAAUACCAGUGGCGAAGGCGGCCCCCUGGACA
rnacentral:rRNA from 1 species